UUUUUCCCAGUAACAAGAGUUAUUAUUCAUAACAUACAUAAUACUCAAAUAUAACACAUGAAUAACAAAGUAAAUAGCUCCUCAAUUUCUCACUACAUAAUACUAAGAUUAGUAUUUAUAAAGCACCAAGAAAACAAAAACCAGGAUUACAAAAAAGAUUUCAAUUAUUUAAGAGUUUGAAAUAAAAUCUAUCAUAGGAUAAACUGAAUUAAAACUUGUUAUUGUAUAGCUAGAUUAUAUAUACGUGUAUGUAUUUAUUCCUCUCAAAGGACAUUAAAUGUUUUUAAAAACAUAAUAAGAUUCAAUUUUUUCAAUAUUAAUUGAGGCACUGUAGAUGUCGCUACAAUGUUUUUUAAAAUGACAAAACAUUUUCAGAAGUUUGUAAUCUAAUAAAGGAGAUCAGACAUCUAAACCUUUCCCAUGCUCAGUAUUUGCUGAUUUAGAUUACCUAUAACAGAUUAAUAAAA
rnacentral:lncRNA from 1 species